CGAGAUAUCUGGUUGAUCCUGCCUGAACUGAUGUGUUCAUUUCAAAGAUUAAGCCAUGCAUGUAUAAGUUUAAUCGUUUUAACGAGAAACCGCGAACGGCUCAUUACAAUGGCCAUGAUUUACUUGAUCUUGAUUAUCUAAAUGGAUAACUGUGGAAAAGCUAGAGCUAAUACAUGCACCAAAGCUUUGUCCUAUCGGAAAAGCGCAUUUAUUAGAACAAAACCACGCGGCUUCGGCUGCUUCUUGUUGACUCAGAAUAACUAAGCUGACCGCAUGGCCUUGUGCUGGCGGCGUGUCUUUCAAGCGUCCACUUUAUCAACUUGACGGGAGCAUAAUCGACUCCCGUGGUGGUGACGGAUAACGGAGGAUCAGGGUUCGACUCCGGAGAAGGGGCCUGAGAAAUGGCCACUACGUCUAAGGAUGGCAGCAGGCGCGCAAAUUACCCACUCUCGGCUCGAGGAGGUAGUGACGAGAAAUAACGAGAUCGUUCUCUUUGAGGCCGGUCAUCGGAAUGGGUACAAUUUAAACCCUUUAACGAGUAUCAAGCAGAGGGCAAGUCUGGUGCCAGCAGCCGCGGUAAUUCCAGCUCUGCUAAUACAUAGAAUUAUUGCUGCGGUUAAAAAGCUCGUAGUUGGAUUCGUAUCGGUACCCUGGAACCCUCCGGGUGUUUCUGGGUGUUAUCGAUUUUUCGUAAUGUUCGGUUUAGAGUCCUUAACAGGAUUCUUAACAGGCAUUGCAAGUUUACUUUGAACAAAUCAGAGUGCUUCAAACAGGCGUUUUCGCUUGAAUGAUCGUGCAUGGAAUAAUAGAAAACGAUUUCGGUUCAGUUUUAUUGGUUUUACGGACUGAGAUAAUGGUUAACAGAGACAAACGGGGGCAUUUGUAUGGCCCCGUGAGAGGUGAAAUUCUUGGACCGUGGCCAGACAAACUACAGCGAAAGCAUUUGCCAAGAAUGUCUUCAUUAAUCAAGAACGAAAGUCAGAGGUUCGAAGGCGAUCAGAUACCGCCCUAGUUCUGACCGUAAACGAUGCCAACUAGCGAUCCGCCGAUGGAAAUUAUAUUGCCUUGGUAAUUUAGAUUUUUAUUAUUUGCACACAAUUGACAUUAUCCACUUAUUUAGUUCGUAGAACUUUUUUAUCGAAUUCGAAUACAUUACUAGAAUAAAUAUGGCACUAAUAAUUUUGACGCGUAUAAACGAAAACAAAUUUAGAUUUUUAUUAUUUGCACACAAUUGACAUUAUCCACUUAUUUAGUUCGUAGAACUUUUUUAUCGAAUUCGAAUACAUUAAUAAACGAAAACAAAAUUUAGAUUUUUAUUAUUUGCACACAAUUGACAUUAUCCACUUAUUUAGUUCGUAGAACUUUUUUAUCGAAUUCGAAUACAUUACUAGAAUAAAUAUGGCACUAAUAAUUUUGACGCGUAUAAACGAAAACAAAAUUUAGAUUUUUAUUAUUUGCACACAAUUGACAAAUUUAGAUUUUUAUUAUUUGCACACAAUUGACAUUAUCCACUUAUUUAGUUCGUAGAACUUUUUUAUCGAAUUCGAAUACAUUACUAGAAUAAAUAUGGCACUAAUAAUUUUGACGCGUAUAAACGAAAACAAAAUUU